rnacentral:rRNA from 1 species
GAUGAACGCUGGCGGCGUGCCUAAUACAUGCAAGUCGAGCGAACAGACGAGGAGCUUGCUCCUCUGACGUUAGCGGCGGACGGGUGAGUAACACGUGGAUAACCUACCUAUAAGACUGGGAUAACUUCGGGAAACCGGAGCUAAUACCGGAUAAUAUAUUGAACCGCAUGGUUCAAUAGUGAAAGACGGUUUUGCUGUCACUUAUAGAUGGAUCCGCGCCGCAUUAGCUAGUUGGUAAGGUAACGGCUUACCAAGGGGACGAUGCGUAGCCGACCUGAGAGGGUGAUAGGCCACACUGGAACUGAGACACGGUCCAGACUCCUACGGGAGGCAGCAGUAGGGAAUCUUGCGCAAUGGGCGAAAGCCUGACGGAGCAACGCCGCGUGAGUGAUGAAGGUCUUCGGAUCGUAAAACUCUGUUAUUAGGGAAGAACAAAUGUGUACGUAAAUAUGCCCGUCUUGACGGUACCUAAUCAGAAAGCCACGGCUAACUACGUG